UCCCAAAUUUACACUCUCUGGGCAUAAUAGAACAAUAUAAUUAGGUUUUACGCUUUGUUCGAUAGAAUGAGAAAAAGUACUCGUUGCAAAGUUAUACUGUUUGGGCGCAAUUGAGUAUUGUAAUGUGGUUCCGGUUUUAAUUCUUGUGAACGUUGACAUGAAAUCGUUCCAAAUUUACACUCUCGGGACAUAAUAGAAAAAUAUAAUUAGGUUUUACUCUUUGUUCGAUAGAAUUAGAAAAAGUACUCGUUGCAAAGUUAUACUAUUAGGGUGCAACUGGGUAGUCUAAUGUUGUUCCGGUUUUUCUUCUUGUGAACGUUGAUAUCGAUUCGUUCCAAAUUUACACUCUCUGGGCAUAAUAGAAUAAUAUAAUUAGGUUUUACGCUUUGUUCGAUAGAAUGAGAAAAAGUACUCAUUGCAAAGUUAUACUGUUAGGGCGCAACUGAGUAGUCUAAUGUUGUUCCGGUUUUUGUUCUUGUGAACGUUGACAUCGAUUAGUUCCAAAUUCACUCUCAGGGUAUAAUAGAACAAUAUAAUUAGGUUUUACUCUUUGUUCGAUUGAAUGACAAAAAGUACUCGUUGCAAAGUUAAACUGUUAGGACGCAACUGAGUAGUCUAAUGUUGUUCCGGUUUGGUUCUUGUGAACGUUAACAUCGAUUCGUUCCCAAUUUGCACUCUCGGGGCAUAAUAGAACAAUAUAAUUAGGUUUUACUCUUUGUUCGAUUGAAUGAGAAAAAAUACAGUUGCAAAGUUAUACUGUUAGGGCGCAACUGAGUAGUCUAAUGUCGUUGCAAAGUUAUACUGUUAGGGCGUAACUGAGUAGUCUAAUGUUGUUCCGGUUUUGGCUCUUGUGAACGUUGACAUCGAUUCGUUCCAAAUUUACACUAUCGGGGCAUAAUAGAGCAAUAUAAUUAGGUUUUACUCUUUGUUUGAUAGAAUGAGAAAAAGUACUGUUGCAAAGUUAUACUGUUAGGGCGCAACUAAGUAGUCUAAUGUUGUUCCGGUUUUGGUUCUUGUGAACGUCGAC
rnacentral:lncRNA from 1 species